AUCAAAAACAUGUCUUUUUGAAAUUAAUUUAAAGUCUAACCUGCCCACUGAAAUUUUAAAUGGCCGCAGUAUUUUAACUGUGCAAAGGUAGCAUAAUCAUUAGUCUUUUAAUUGAAGGCUGGAAUGAAUGGUUGAAUGAAAUAUUAACUGUUUCAAGUAAAUUUAUAAUAGAAUUUUAUUUUUUAGUUAAAAAGCUAAAAUUUUUUUAAAAGACGAGAAGACCCUAUAAAUCUUUAUAUUUAUAUUUAUAUUUGUUAUGUAGAUAAUUGAAAUUUUUAUAAAUUUAAAUAUUUUAUUGGGGUGAUAUUAAAAUUUAAUAAACUUUUAAUAAAAUAUUAACAAAAAUUAUUGAAAUAUUGAUCCAUAAAUAAUGAUUAAUAAAUUAAGUUACUUUAGGGAUAACAGCGUAAUUUUUUUAGAGAGUUCUUAUUAAUAAAAAAGUUUGCGACCUCGAUGUUGGAUUAAGAUAAAAUUUAGGUGAAGAA
rnacentral:rRNA from 1 species